UACGAAGGGGGCUAGCGUUGUUCGGAAUUACUGGGCGUAAAGGGCGCGUAGGCGGUGUGUCAAGUCAGGCGUGAAAGCCCCGGGCUCAACCUGGGAACCGCGCUUGAGACUGGCACGCUAGAGUUCGGGAGAGGAUGGUGGAAUUCCCAGUGUAGAGGUGAAAUUCGUAGAUAUUGGGAAGAACACCGAUGGCGAAGGCAGCCAUCUGGACCGACACUGACGCUGAGGCGCGACAGCGUGGGGAGCAAACAGG
rnacentral:rRNA from 1 species